ACGUAAACAUCAACAGAUAUAUAACAUCGUGAAAUAUUGUUAACAAAUACGAAUUUAUUUCACAUAUAAACAACACAAGUCAAACAUAUUCACAAAUAUAGCCAUGUAUGUGUAUAUAUAUAUCGUUCUUUUUCCAUUUUGCUGCUCAAAAGUUCUUUCCUUUGACAGGAAGAUGGCACUUCGAUCAAGACAGCCCUUAAAGAUGAGUAGUUGAGUACCUUCAAAAUAUAUUUUAUUCCCAUAACAUUAAGUUAACAUCCUUACCCUUCAAAAAGGAAAGGAAAAUAAAAAAGAACUAUUUUUCAUUUUUUUUCUUACUUUGAAUAUCUUCAUAUCUGAUUAUUUACUCAAUGUUAAAUACAUGCAGAGUAAACUUCUCUUCCUUUUUCAACUAUACAAAAUCUCAAAGUCCAAGUCAUCAUAAAUGAUAGAGAAGACCUUUAUUCUUUCUUUCUAAAUUGCAAGUUUUUCAACUACUAAGAGAGAGAAGGGAGAAGCUUUCUAUGCAACUUUCAACUACUCUGAGAGAGACAGAGAGAGGUAUUUAUAGACUACUUACAUAAAUUGGCAUUGAAAGUCACAAAUUAGAAGGCAGCAACUCCUGGCUUCCCACUCCUCUCUCAACAUUGAGUGUUGUGUAUAUUAAUUCACACUGGUGCAGCAUUCAAAUCCUUCCACCUAUCUAACUUCUACUCUUAAAAACUCAAGAAAGUCAAGCAUAAAUGUUUAUAGAAUUCAGCAUCAUCAUUGCAAACUUCAAGGCAAUGUCAAACAAAUCUUGUACCAUGCUCUUCUAUAUACAUAACCAAAAUGCAUACAGGAUUAUGAUGAAAGAAAAAUCAGAAGUGAAAUGAAGCUUACAACAGUAAUCGCAUCAGUUUUAGCUCUGCUGUUGAUCUCCCAAGUACUUGUAGAAGCAGGUACUGAACAUAAGCAAAAUCAUCAACAUGUAAGAAAAGGAUGGAAGGAUGAAGAAAAGAGAACUAGAAGCAGAAGCAAUGGAAGAAAAAGAAGAAGAUCUGAUUGUGAUCCAUUUUACCAAUACUUAUUUGGAACCUGUGGCCAGUGGCCUUUUCCAAUCUCCCCUUCAGAUAACCCAUUUUGGGCACCCUCAAGACCUCCUCUGCCUCCUUUAGUUUUUUCUCCUCCUCCAGUUUAUCAGCCAGCUCCCUUAGUUCCUUCUCCCCCUCCCCUUCUUGCAUCGCCACCACC
rnacentral:lncRNA from 1 species